AGGCUUUGUUUUGUAUUUUUGGGAAACCCAAAAACCAAAGGUUUCAGAUUCAGACAGACAUUUUCCCGCCUAUUUACCGAUCAAUGGCUCCCAAAUCAGAUAGCGCCGAAGCAAUCGUGCUCAACUUCGUGAAUGAGCAAAACAGGCCGUUAAAUUCUCAAAAUGUGGCCGAUUCAUUGCAAAAGUUCAACCUCAAGAAGGCGGCCAUUCAGAAGGCACUGGAUAAUCUGGCUGAUAAUGGGCGGAUUUCGUUCAAAGAGUAUGGUAAGCAGAAGAUAUACCUUGCUCGCCAAGACCAAUUCAACAUUCCGAACAAUGACGAGCUUAAUCAGAUGAAAGAAGAAAAUGCAAAACUUCAGCAACAGCUCCAAGAACAAAAGAAAGCAAUCAGCGAGGUCGAGGGAGAGAUUAAAACUUUGCAAUCAAAUUUGACCCUGGAACAGAUACGCGACAAAGAUGCCAAACUGAGAAAGGAGGUUAAGGAGAUGGAGGAAAAACUGGAUAAAUUGCGUGGAGGAGUUACACUGGUGAGGACAGAGGAUCGUAAGGCAGUUGAGGACAUGGUCUCGGAGAAAUUAACUCAGUGGAGAAGGCGUAAAAGGAUGUUCAAAGAUCUAUGGGAUGCUAUUACUGAGAACUCACCCAAGGAUCUCAAGGAGUUUAAGGAGGAACUUGGAAUUGAAUAUGAUGAAGAUGUUGGUGUGAGUUUGCAGCCAUAUAGUGACCUGAUGCAGCGUGAUAAGAAGCGUCCAAGAGGCUACUGAUGUUUAUGAAGUGUUUAAUCCUCAGUCAAGGAUUUAAGCAUAUUAGAUAGUGUUCUCCUAGAGGUGACCAUCACGCACCACAAUUCCGUAAAUGAGGAUGCUGUGGUGUAAAUGGAUGAACAAUUGCUCUACCCCGAAGUAAAUUUGCUGUGUGCAUUGACGCUCAUGAAGGCACCUGCUGUGAUUGGAUCUGUUAUGUUCUUUUGUUUACAGCGUUUGUUAAAUUUAUAAGAAUCAUAUGAAAGGUGUAAAUUCUGGUUCUCAGGGGUCCCAGGGUUUUCAUAUUGGGGCACACAACACAACACAAUAAGUACCCUUGUAAAAUGCGAUGAGCACAGGUUAAAUUUAAAAGCCUUGUAACUGAGACCAGCUAUGCCAUUUGGACUGUGGUGUGAAUGUAUCUUGGUAAAAUAUGUAAUUGCUUCUAAGACCAUAAGGAGGCCUAUUGACAGGGAUUGGGAAUGCCAUGACCAAUUUUUUUCUGCCUUUUAUACACUAACAUAAGACAAUUGAUAGUUCUUUGCCUCAUGAGAUACCUCGUGUGGCUGACUUGCUUAUUGAAGAGUAUGUCUAGAUGAACACAUUCAAAUAUAUAUAUUUUAAGAACAUUGCUUUCAAUCCAACAUAAAACAAUGAUAGAAUAUACAUAAUUAACAAAUAAAAAGGAAAAAUAAAC